GUGGGGAAUCUUAGACAAUGGGGGAAACCCUGAUCUAGCCAUGCCGCGUGAUCGAUGAAGGCCUUAGGGUUGUAAAGAUCUUUCAGCUGGGAAGAUAAUGACGGUACCAGCAGAAGAAGCCCCGGCUAACUCCGUGCCAGCAGCCGCGGUAAUACGGAGGGGGCUAGCGUUGUUCGGAAUUACUGGGCGUAAAGCGCACGUAGGCGGAUUGGAAAGUUGGGGGUGAAAUCCCGGGGCUCAACCCCGGAACUGCCUUCAAAACUCCCAGUCUUGAGGUCGAGAGAGGUGAGUGGAAUUCCGAGUGUAGAGGUGAAAUUCGUAGAUAUUCGGAGGAACACCAGUGGCGAAGGCGGCUCACUGGCUCGAUACUGACGCUGAGGUGCGAAAGCGUGGGGAGCAAACAGGAUUAGAAACCCGGGUAGUCC
rnacentral:rRNA from 1 species